rnacentral:rRNA from 1 species
AGUAGUGAAUCUUCCACAAUGGACGAAAGUCUGAUGGAGCAACGCCGCGUGAGUGAAGAAGGUUUUCGGAUCGUAAAACUCUGUUGUUGGAGAAGAAUGUAUCUGAUAGUAACUGAUCAGGUAGUGACGGUAUCCAACCAGAAAGCCACGGCUAACUACGUGCCAGCAGCCGCGGUAAUU